AUAGGUCACUUUCACCUUCUCACCGAACAUCAGUCACCUGUAAAAAGACACAGUUAUGUUCUAAAUCUGCAGUCAGUUUGUCUAAAGGAAACUUGUAAACCUUGGGUUGACGGGGGUAUAGGUCACUUUCACCUUCUCACCGAACAUCAGUCACCUGUAAAA